rnacentral:rRNA from 1 species
UACGGAGGGGGCUAGCGUUGUUCGGAAUUACUGGGCGUAAAGCGCACGUAGGCGGCUUUGUAAGUUAGAUGUGAAAGCCUGGGGCUCAACUCCAGAACUGCCUUUAAGACUGCAUCGCUUGAACACGGGAGAGGUGAGUGGAAUUCCGAGUGUAGAGGUGAAAUUCGUAGAUAUUCGGAAGAACACCAGUGGCGAAGGCGGCUCACUGGACCGUUGUUGACGCUGAGGUGCGAAAGCGUGGGGAGCAAACAGG